rnacentral:rRNA from 1 species
AGUUUCCUGUAGCAAUACAGGGAAUGGGCGCACGGCGCACGGGUGAGUAACACGUGGGCAAUCUGCCCUUCGGUGGGGAAUACCCCCGCGAAAGCGGGACUAAUACCGCAUGACAUUCCGGUGGCUUCGGCCGCCGGACUCAAAGGCCGCAAGGCCGCCGGAGGAGGAGCCCGCGCCCGAUUAGCUUGUUGGCGAGGUAACGGCUCACCAAGGCUUUGAUCGGUAGCUGGUCUGAGAGGACGAUCAGCCACACUGGAACUGAGACACGGUCCAGACUCCUACGGGAGGCAGCAGUGGGGAAUAUUGCGCAAUGGGCGAAAGCCUGACGCAGCGACGCCGCGUGGGGGAUGAAGCUUCUCGGA